rnacentral:lncRNA from 1 species
GACCUAUUUAACCGACGCACAAUCAGCUCAUUUCCCUCUCUGAUCGUCACCUCAUGCACGUCACGGCUGCUUUGCACGGAAUUCCGAAAGAAAUCUGUAAGUUUGUUUAACCUAAUUGCUCUAGUCACUUUACAUGCCGUCUUUUAACUGAAACAAAUGCAUUUUUUGAAUACAAGAAAGGAUCAAAUCAGAACGGGUCUGCAUCUCCGGCCAGUAGCGACAUGGCGAAAGCUCCAGGUGAAUGUGAACUGGUCCAGUACACAGAACUGCAAGAUGAACACAGGUCUUCAGGUUGAAUACCAGCGUCUACUUUCAGGAAACCAGGAACUACGAGAGAAUGUUCAAAAGGGACGAUUCACCUCCACAACCUUAAACAAUCAACAAAUAAAUUCAUGUGCUGGGUUUUAAUGCUCAUUUCGAUGUUUAUAGAACCUGUAGGCAAAAUAUGCCCUGGUGAUUAACUUCUUGUGUUAAUGAAAUUAAGACUUAGCUUGACUAAUGCUGACCUAGCCAUACAAUUUAAGAUUUGCCCUACACAAAUUUCAAGGAUAUUUUUCAAAUGUCUGCCUGUCAUUUCUCAGAACUUGAGUUUUUUUUAAUAGAGUGGCUGAGUGAAGCUAAGGUUCUAAAAAACAUGACGAGCUGUUUUAAAAAGAAAUCCAAGAACUGCAGAGUUAUGGUAAACUGUACUAAAGUCUCUAUUCAGAGGCCAGCAAAUGUAAACACACUGCAACUUUGAUACUCAGACUACAAAAGCAACAUCAUUAAGUUCCUUUAUGGUUCUAUCAGUUUUUUACCAAAAAUGUGGGAAAGACUAUCAGAUAGUUAACUAUCAUCUGGCAUUUUAGAAAAACUUUAAUAUGGAGAUGUAGUUUCAGCUGACAGGGGCGUGUUGAUAUCUGAAAAAAUUUCUAUUUAUGGAGCUUCAUUAGCCAAACAACCUUUUACAAAAGGUACAAAUCUAUCUCAUGCCAAUCAGUUUAGUUCGACAUGUAGACAACAUUGUUACAGUUUGUACAACUCUUAACAAACCUGAUGGGUAGACUCGUGAAAUAAACUUGGAGAUGGUAAAGUCGAAAGUAUAUUU